UACGUAGGUGACCAGCGUUGUCCGGAUUUACUGGGCGUAAAGAGCGCGCAGGCGGUCGUUCAAGUCGAGUGUGAAAGCCCCCGGCUCAACUGGGGAGGGUCACUCGAUACUGAUCGACUUGAAGGCAGGAGAGGGAAGCGGAAUUCCCGGUGUAGUGGUGAAAUGCGUAGAUAUCGGGAGGAACACCAGUGGCGAAGGCGGCUUCCUGGCCUGUUCUUGACGCUGAGGCGCGAAAGCGUGGGGAGCAAACGGG
rnacentral:rRNA from 1 species